rnacentral:lncRNA from 1 species
AGUGGUAUGCUUGAAGAGUUACAUAUUGGGCAUUUGACAUUAUUUUUAGUUGUUUGGAAACUAUUUAGUUGGAUUUGAAGCACUGAAAAAAGGAUUUUUUUUUGGAUCGUGAAAAGAAAGAGACGAAAAGAGGAAGCAACCUUGCAAGGUGUGGAGAAGAGAAGAGAUCUUCAAGAUCGAAAGAAAUUGAAGAUCAACUUUCAUCAACAACAACUUGUAAUGUCUUUAAUUUGUAAUCUUUUAUCUUUGAAUAUUAUGAGAGGCUAAAC